UACGUAGGGUGCAAGCGUUAAUCGGAAUUACUGGGCGUAAAGCGUGCGUAGGCGGCUAUGUAAGACAGAUGUGAAAUCCCUGGGCUUAACCUAGGAACUGCAUUUGUGACUGCAUAGCUAGAGUGUGGUAGAGGGAGAUGGAAUUCCGCAUGUAGCAGUGAAAUGCGUAGAUAUGCGGAGGAACACCAAUGGCGAAGGCAAUCUCCUGGACCUGCACUGACGCUCAUGCACGAAAGCGUGGGGAGCAAACAGG
rnacentral:rRNA from 1 species